GACGAACGCUGGCGGCGUGCUUAACACAUGCAAGUCGAACGGAAAGGCCCUGCUUUUGUGGGGUGCUCGAGUGGCGAACGGGUGAGUAACACGUGAGUAACCUGCCCUUGACUUUGGGAUAACCUCAUGAAACUGGGGCUAAUACCGGAUAGGAGCUCCUGCUGCAUGGUGGGGGUUGGAAGGUUUCGGCGGUUGGGGAUGGACUCGCGGCUUAUCAGCUUGUUGGUGGGGUAGUGGCUUACCAAGGCUUUGACGGGUAGCCGGGCUGGGAGGGUGACCGGCCACAUUGGGACUGAGAUACGGCACAGACUCCUACGGGAGGCAGCGGUGGGGAAUAGUGCACAAGGGGCGGAAGCCUGAUGCAGCAACGCCGCGUGCGGGAUGAGGGCCUGCGGGUUGUAAACCGCUUUCGCCUGUGACGAAGCGUGAGUGACGGUAAUGGGUAAAGAAGCACCGGCUAACUACGUG
rnacentral:rRNA from 1 species